AACCUCAGUUCAUCACACAGCGUCUCUGUUUUCUCCCCAUUGCUUCCAAACACCGUCUGUUUUCCCGUUCGAAAACCUCAAUCUCUCACAAUUGUAUCUGCUAAGGGGUAUAAGAUGAAGACCCACAAGGUCCAAGUUGACCGUAGUGACUACAACAAUGUCAUAGGAGCCUUGCCCUAUCUGAAGAUCAACCGAGCCAAUUAGGUCGAACCACUUCAUAAAGAUCAAACCAUUUUGAUUCGGGUUGCAAGUUCUACGCAGAGUUGCUCAUCUUCUUGUUGUAUUUAUGGUUUAAAUUGCAGGUCUUUUUACUCCUCUUCCUUCUAUAUGUAAUUCAUAGCCAUUACAUGUAUAUUUUCACUGCCUUUGAUUGUUACAUUUACCUUAGUUUUAACAACAAAUUUUUCAACACCUUAGUUUCACAUUUACCUUGCAUUUGUAAGGAUUUGAACCCACAAUCUCGCAUUUGUAAGAGUGGACACCAUACCACUAGACCAAUAAGUCAUGGUUGUCGGCACAACUCCUAACUUGUAUAAAUGUUUAUUAUGAUUUCUCAUUGGUCUUAUGUAAAUCUUUAUCACUUAAAAUUAUAUUCUAGUAUUCAUUAAAAAGCCAAAACAACAAAUUACAAACAAACGGCUGGUAAACGGACAACAAAUAGGUGAUAAUUUUGUCACCAACAACAAAAAUUAAAAUAUAUAUCGUCUUAAAAUGACUUGAUAAUACUAAUAUCACCAAAAACAAAAAUUAAAACAUAUGGCAAUCAAUGUUUUUAAAAACCAGUUCAAACCGGCCGGUUGUACCGGUUAAACCGCCCGGUACAUCCGAUUGAACCAUCUGAUACACCCGGUUAAACCAAUCUCUGAGUCAUUCACCGUUUCAUGGCUUCUUGGCUCACAUACGUACGGGUUGACUUUGGGCAUACAUCCCAACUACACAUAUAUAUGUAAAUAAUCAUCUCCUUAAUUUGAUGUUUUGCACAUGCAAUUACUUGGCAUAUACUUUUUUUAUUCUAAUACUAGGUUAUAACUCCGUGUAUUACACGGGUCGAAUAAAUACAUUUUAUAUACUAAAUAAUAAAACAAUAUAUCUUUAAAAACCUCCUUUAUUGCACGAGUUGAAUAAAUAUAAUUUUAUAUAUUAAAUAAUAAAAAAUUUGACUUCUCUCAUUUCUAUUUGAUCCCAAAAUAAUGGCCUCCGUCGUGAAAGAGUUUGAACCUCUUAAAAUCCGUCUGGACGAGUUAAAAAAAGCCACCAAUAGUUUUGGUAGCAAAGUUAUUGGACGUGGUGGUUUUGGGCAUGUAUAUGAAGGAGAAGUCUCUCACUCUAAGGGGCGAGGCCUGGUUGCUAUCAAGCGUUUGAGUCGUGAAUAUGGGCAAGGAGACCCCGGGUUCUGGAAGGAGAUCAUGAUGCUUUCUCGGUACACACAUAAGAAUCUCAUCUCUCUCCUUGGGUUUUGUGAUGAAGAUGGUGAGAGAAUCCUUGUUUACGAGCAUGCAUCAAAUGGAAGCCUUGAUCGCCAUUUAAGUUCCACUACUCUCAUGUGGACGCAACGUCUCAGGAUAUGCCUUGAUGCUGCAAGGGGGCUAGCCUACCUUCAUGAUCCCAAGGGCUUCCAACAAAGAGUUCUCCAUAGAGAUAUAAAAAGUGGCAACAUCCUACUAGAUGACAAGUGGAAUGCUAAACUUUCUGACAUGGGACUUUCAAAAAUAGGACCUGCGAAUCAGCAACACACGAAUGUCUUCACCACCGUUGCAGGCACCCAUGGUUACUUGGAUCCCCAAUAUUUGGAGACGUGCUCCCUAACCAAAGAAUCAGACAUAUACUCUUUUGGUGUCGUCUUAGUCUUAUUCGAAGUCCUGUGUGGGAGAUUAUGUACUGAAAAAGCUAACGGUCUGUUAAAGUGUUUCGUGCAUAUGUGGAAAGAAAGCUACAAAUGUAAGAAGUUAGACCGGAUUAUCUUUAAAGAUCUCAUGCCACCAAUGGACCCAACUUCGUUGGAAACAUUUUCAGACAUUGCAUUCCAGUGUUUGCACUACUCUUGUGAACAACGGCCAACAACGUCUCGUAUAGUGAAAAAGCUUGAGAUUGCACUUCGUUUCAGGAGCGUCACGACAUGAAACUGACUAAUGUUGUGGGAACUUUUUAGAAAUAUCGAUACGUGGAUGAACUGAGCGUACUUCUAUCAAAAGGCAAAGGGAUCUUUCUUAACAUGGGCACAACAGUAAUUCGCUGCUGCUGCUUCUUUUUUUAAUUGCAAUGGUGAACUGAUUUUUUUUAUAGACUGUUAGCUUAUUUGUAGAAUUUAACAUGAUUAAAACAAAUAAUGAUUGCAAAGUAUAUACAAAUUCCAACUGCAUUGUUUGCAAUGCUUUUUAAAAAACAAAGCAUUUAGUAAUAAAUAAUGGUUGCUUUGAAGUUCUACGGUUGGUUGAUUUGCUUCAUACUUUUUUGUUGCUUGUUCUAGAAAAGGGAAGGAACUAAACGAAAAGAAGACAAAGCAAGAAAGGCAGGAGGGAAACUUGUACAUUUUGAUGGUUCAAACGUUUUUACAGCUGAUGAUCUUCUGAGAGCAUCAGUUGAGAUGACAAGCAAAAGUACUUACGGGUUUAACUAUAAGGCAACAUUGGAGAAUGGUGAUGAAGUUUCAGUUCAAACAUGGAGUGAAUAUAUUACUAAAGAUGGAGAAUAUGAAGUUGAAUUAAAUUUGCUUGGAAAAAUAAGGCAUCCCAAUGUUUUCGCAAUUAGGGCUUAUUAUUUGGCCUCAGAACAAGAAGAAUAUAACCAUCUCGUUUUUUAUUACAUGCCCGAAAAAAGCCAGCUUUCUGUAUUUCUCCAUCAUUGGGCAACAAGAAUGCAAAUAGCAAAAGGAGUGGCUAGAGGUUUGCAUAACCUCCAUACUCAUCACAAGCUAAUCCAUGGAAAUCUAACAUCACACUAUGUUUUGCUCGAUGAAAACAAUAACCACAAGAUUUCUGACUUCGGGAUGUCACGACUCAUGCAUGCUCAUGUAAACUCA